GACGAACGCUGGCGGCGUGCCUAAUACAUGCAAGUUGAGCGAUGAAGAUUGGUGCUUGCACCAAUUUGAAGAGCAGCGAACGGGUGAGUAACGCGUGGGGAAUCUGCCUUUGAGUGGGGGACAACAUUUGGAAACGAAUGCUAAUACCGCAUAACAACUUUAAACAUAAGUUUUAAGUUUGAAAGAUGCAAUUGCAUCACUCAAAGAUGAUCCCGCGUUGUAUUAGCUAGUUGGUGAGGUAAAGGCUCACCAAGGCGAUGAUACAUAGCCGACCUGAGAGGGUGAUCGGCCACAUUGGGACUGAGACACGGCCCAAACUCCUACGGGAGGCAGCAGUAGGGAAUCUUCGGCAAUGGACGAAAGUCUGACCGAGCAACGCCGCGUGAGUGAAGAAGGUUUUCGGAUCGUAAAACUCUGUUGGUAGAGAAGAACGUUGGUGAGAGUGGAAAGCUCAUCAAGUGACGGUAACUACCCAGAAAGGGACGGCUAACUACGUG
rnacentral:rRNA from 1 species